GCCUUGGUGGUGGAAUUGGUAGACACAAGGGAUUUAAAAUCCUCGGCGUUCGCGCUGUGCCGGUUCAAGUCCGGCCCGGGGCACCA
rnacentral:tRNA from 1 species